GCAGUGAUUGACAAGCCAGAGGGCCAAUCCGCGCACGUCUCUCACAAGGAACGUCACGGCAGUGAUUGACAAGCCAGAGGGCCAAUCGUUUACGCGAUGAUCGCGUAAACGAUUGGCUGAUGUUUUUGAGGCCCUACCUCCUGCACAGAUGUAUAUUAAUAUUAUUACUUUCAGUGCACCUAAUAAAUAGUCUUUUAUCAGUUAGUAAAGACAGUUUCAAGUAAUAUUGCAAAAAUGUAUAAAACAAAACAUCCUCUUUAGCACCUUUAAUCCCUGUGUGAAUAACAUUCAGCAUCUGACUCGGUUUGUAUUGAUUUCAGUCUGAAUUCAAUACAAACCGAGUCAGAUGAUGCUAGCAGCAGCACAUCUGUGUAAAUGUGCUGAGCAAGGAUGUAAAGUAACGAAUUACAAAUACUCAUGUUACUGUAAUUAAGUUGUUUUAUCAGAAAUGGUAAUUUUUUAAGUAGUUUAAAAAUUGUGUGCUUUUACUUGAGUAGGCCUACAUUUUAAGUAUCUCUGUACUUUACUCCUCUACUUUCCAUCCCUUUUGAUCGUUACAUGCUUGUUAAUUUUAAUUUUAUUUGUAUCUAUCAAUGUGAUUGGAUAGGGAGAGAGAAAUCGGUCUCGUGACUCCUCAAAUCAAAUCGCUCAUAGAAAACUCAAACCACAGCAGUAGAUGGCGCCAACUGCUGUUAUUCAUGUCUGCUGUGGAAGCACAUUCAAACAUCAAUUUAAUCGAGAAGUCAGCGUAUUCCUCUAUUUGAAGAAACAUGUUAAGGUAAAUUUAGGGUUUCUGCUUACUAAUUAACUGUAUAGGCUAGCGGGGGCUGCAAUUUGGUGCGAGGUUGCGGGUAUUGCGUAUAACUCCCGCAAGUGCCACGUUCAUAAUGCCAUUUAGAUUUAUAUAGAGAGAUGCGCGAACUGCACGUCUCCCGCUCGCGCGUAUGUUGGGGACAUUCUAAAGCGCUUAUUUGGAACCAUGUGCUUACCAUGGCUUAAUGCACUGAAAUUGGAAGACCAAAUUCAUUAUUCAUUGAUGACUCAUGGUGUUACACGUGCAUCAGAGCUGGAUGUGAUAAAACUAGAGCUUAUUAAUGAACAACGUUUUUGUUUGAUCCAUUUCAUACAGUCAGCAUCAACUAUUAAAUGCACUUGCGCAAAAGUAUUUUUCAAGUUCAACAUUCUUGUUACAGUAGUGUAGAGCAGCUUAUACCGCCGCUGGAGCUCAAAAAAGAUCUUUCUAUUAGCAUGCAUUUCUUCAUAAUAUAUGUGAACUAAAUUGGGCUAUACAUUUAGACUGGAUAAUACAUUUAAAUUAAUUAAUAUGCAACUUUCUCUAGUUUUUAAACUUCAAGAAUUUAUCUUUGCAUUUAAGUAUCUGCUGAUUAACACAGCAUCAUAUUCUAUUCCAAAUCAUUACUCCUAUAUUCUGAAAAUAAUAAUAAUAAUAAUAAUAAUAAUAGUAAUUUUAGGUCAGCAUCACCAAAUGAAUGCAUUAGAAUUUGAUUUAAAAAUUAAAUAGAAAAUAAAAUAUAUGGCACCAACCAUCUGACACCUGAAACAAAUAAUGAUCCAUUAGAGGUUCCUGCAACAACUGAUUGGUCUGAGGCAAUAAGCUAUUAAACUGUGAUUGGUGAUCGUUAGAGGCAGGAACUAUUAAAAAAAAGACCAGUUCAGUAACAAUUUUACAUUGUUUGUUAACUUUUCUUCUUUUUGUAGUGGGUGUGUUGAGAAUAGUUAAUGGUAGUUUUGGUUGGAUAUGGGUGAUGCCACUAUGCAAUCUUUAAAGUUUUUUUUGGCAGUACUCUUAAUCCUUGUUUGUGACAGUGCUUCUAAUGUUUAUGGUUAUAGCUCUGUCACCAAUGGAGGCUAUCCUGGAUAUCAUAACCCUAAAGUGGAUAAUGUUAAGCAACAGAGUUUCUACAGCUGGUGUGACCCAAAUGUAGCACGACCAACCAGGCCCCUGGGUUCCAAGAACA